UACGGGGGGGUGCGAGCGUUGUCCGGAAUCACUGGGCGUAAAGGGCGCGUAGGUGGUCUGAUAAGGGUGUGGUGAAAGCCCGGGGCUCAACCCCGGGUCGGCCGUGCCGACUGUUAGACUAGAGUACUGUAGGGGCAGGCGGAAUUCCGGGUGUAGCGGUGGAAUGCGUAGAGAUCCGGAGGAAGACCGGUGGCGAAGGCGGCCUGCUGGGCAGUUACUGACACUGAGGCGCGACAGCGUGGGGAGCGAACAGG
rnacentral:rRNA from 1 species